UUGUAGGUAAACUAAGCAGAAAUUAUCAACAAUUAAACCUUGCAGAUGAAGUUGGUUUGGAGUAUUCAGCUUCCUUUGUACUAUUAGUCAGUUUGACUUCCAACCCCAGCCAUGUUGUUCAUCUGGUCACUUAUUAUAUUCUCAGUAAUAGGUGACACCUAUGAGCAGACUAUAGAGCCAAACCAACAUGAAGUGUAUGCAGAAGUGGGUAGUAAUGUUCUUCUUUCAUGCAACUACUCCUCAGCGUACAGUCUACUAUGGUAUAAACAGUCUCCAGGAUCAGCUCCCCAAUACCUUCUGCUCAUCCAGCACUCCACUGGGAAUGAAUAUAAAGAUGAUUCUCUUGACUCUCGCUUCUCUGGUAAACUGAACAAAGAGAAGACCCGUGUGGAUCUGGAGAUCUCCUCUGUUGAAGAGACAGACUCUGAUAUGUACUACUGUGCUCUGACUCCCACAGUGACAGGAAACCCAGAAACACUGCACAAAAACCUAACAUCGCCUGAGAGAGUGGCUCCUCCUCCUGACAGUGGAGGUGAAACUUUAGAGGAUGAUAUUACUCCAACCAGUCCUGAGGAGUAUUAUUUAGAGGGUAUCAGAGUAAAGAUCUCCUGUAACUAUACAGUGAAGGCAGAUGGUCUGCUGUGGUACAGACAGUACUCUGGAUCAGGUCUCCAAUUCCUUUACUUCGUAACAACUAACAAUAAUCCAUAUAGGUGA